UUAUUCCUGACAAUGAAUCUGCAUUUGUUUCAGAUGCAUUUAAGAAAUUUGUGAAGCUAGAGCUCAUCUAACCUGUCAUCAUUACUCUUCAUCACCCUCAAGCAAAUGGUCAGGCUGAAAGAAUGAUGCAGACCACUAAGGAAGCCAUAAAGUAAACUAUCAGAAGAAAGUGACUGAGGAGAUUUGCCCAGCUUUUCAUCACUCAACAUAUCAGUCCAAGUGGGACAACAGAAGUGAAAGUUCAGGCAACCUGUGACGGAUUCAUUACAUCAUUUUUCCCUGGUGAAGAAGCCUGAGUUGAGAUAAAGCAUCAAUCAUCUUGGGUCCCAGGUUUACUACAAUAAGUAGAGCCUCUUGCCAAUCCCUCUUGGGUAUGUAUGAAGAGAACAAGAAAUAAAAUUUGUUAUAUUAAGCCACUUAGAUUUUGGAUUACUGCAGAAUAACCUAGACUAUCUUGACUUACAUAAAAUUAAU
rnacentral:lncRNA from 10 species